rnacentral:rRNA from 1 species
AUUGAACGCUGGCGGCAGGCCUAACACAUGCAAGUCGAGCGGAGCGGCGGACGGGUGCGUAAUGCCUAGGAAUCUGCCUGGUAGUGGGGGAUAACGUCCGGAAACGGACGCUAAUACCGCAUCCUAUCAGCUGAGCCUAGGUCGGAUUGGCUUGUUGGUGGGGUAAAGGCAUACCAAGGCGACGAUCCGUAACGGGUCUGAGAGGAUGAUCAGUCACACGGGAACGGAGACACGGUCCAGACUCCUACGGGAGGCAGCAGUGGGGAAUAUUGUACAAUGGGCGAAAGCCUGAUCCAGCCAUGCCGCGUGUGUGAAGAAGGUCUUCGGAUUGUAAAGCAGUUUAAGCUGGGAGGCGUUACCAACAGAAUAAGCACCGGCUAACUUCGUGCCAGCAGCCGCGGUAAUUC